UGAUGUGAGGGCAGUCUGGCUGUGACAUCUGUCACCCCACUGAUCAGCAGGGUGGAUUUGGCUGACCUGGCUGGUUGGGCAGGUGUCUCCUUCCUUUCUCUUGCUCCAUGUGCCUCCCUGCCAGAGGACCAUCUCCCCAUAGAGGAGGGCACUUCUUACAUCAAGGAUGUUCGAGCAGCUGCUCUCCCCUGCUGGGCCAUCCAGACAAGCUCUCAAAAAUGAUAUGUGUUAAUUCCUGUAAACUGGAUAUGUUACCUUGCUUGGCAAAGAGGAAUUAAUUUGCAUGUGGAAUUAUGUUU
ensembl:misc_RNA 7SK 7SK RNA